UUGGUUAAGUUAGAAAGGGCGCACGGUGGAUGCCUUGGCACUAGGAGCCGAAGAAGGACGGGACUAACACCGAUAUGCUUUGGGGAGCUGUACGUAAGCGUUGAUCCAGAGAUUUCCGAAUGGGGGAACCCACUAUCUUUAGUCGGAUAGUAUCCUUACGUGAAUACAUAGCGUGAGGAAGGCAGACCCAGGGAACUGAAACAUCUAAGUACCUGGAGGAAGAGAAAGAAAAAUCGAUUUCCUGAGUAGCGGCGAGCGAAACGGAAAGAGCCCAAACCAAGAAGCUUGCUUCUUGGGGUUGUAGGACACUCUAUACGGAGUUACAAAAGAAAGUUAUAAAUGAAGCGGUCUGGAAAGGCCCGCCAAAGACGGUAACAGCCCGGUAGUUGAAAUAGCUUUCCCUCCAGAGUGGAUCCUGAGUACGGCGGAACACGUGAAAUUCCGUCGGAAUCCGGGAGGACCAUCUCCCAAGGCUAAAUACUCCCUAGUGACCGAUAGUGAACCAGUACCGUGAGGGAAAGGUGAAAAGCACCCCGGAAGGGGAGUGAAACAGUUCCUGAAACCGUGUGCCUACAAGUAGUUAGAGCCCGUUAAUGGGUGAUAGCGUGCCUUUUGUAGAAUGAACCGGCGAGUUACGAUUUGUUGCAAGGUUAAGCGGAAAAAGCGGAGCCGUAGCGAAAGCGAGUCUGAAUAGGGCGCAUAAGUAACAGGUCGUAGACCCGAAACCAGGUGAUCUACCCAUGUCCAGGAUGAAGGUAAGGUAAUACUUACUGGAGGUCCGAACCCACGCACGUUGAAAAGUGCGGGGAUGAGGUGUGGGUAGCGGAGAAAUUCCAAUCGAACUUGGAGAUAGCUGGUUCUCUCCGAAAUAGCUUUAGGGCUAGCCUCGAGGUAAAGAGUCAUGGAGGUAGAGCACUGUUUGGACUAGGGGCCCUUCUCGGGUUACCGAAUUCAGAUAAACUCCGAAUGCCAUGUACUUAUACUCGGGAGUCAGACUGCGAGUGAUAAGAUCCGUAGUCGAAAGGGAAACAGCCCAGACCACCAGUUAAGGUCCCCAAAUAUAUGUUAAGUGGAAAAGGAUGUGGGGUUGCUUAGACAACCAGGAUGUUGGCUUAGAAGCAGCCACCAUUGAAAGAGUGCGUAAUAGCUCACUGGUCGAGUGACCCCGCGCCGAAAAUGUACCGGGGCUAAACAUAUUACCGAAACUGUGGAUGAACCUCUUUAGAGGUUCGUGGUAGGAGAGCGUUCUAAGGGCGGUGAAGUCAGACCGGAAGGACUGGUGGAGCGCUUAGAAGUGAGAAUGCCGGUAUGAGUAGCGAAAGAAGGGUGAGAAUCCCUUCCACCGAAUAUCUAAGGUUUCCUGAGGAAGGCUCGUCCGCUCAGGGUUAGUCGGGACCUAAGCCGAGGCCGAUAGGCGUAGGCGAUGGACAACAGGUAGAGAUUCCUGUACCAGUGCUAAUUGUUUAACCGAUGGGGUGACACAGAAGGAUAGGGAAUCGCACGAAUGGAAAUGUGCGUCCAAGCAGUGAGUGUGAGAAGUAGGCAAAUCCGCUUCUCGCGAAGCAUGAGCUGUGAUGGGGAAGGAAAUUAAGUACGGAAGUUCCUGAUUUCACGCUGUCAAGAAAAGCCUCUAGGAAGAGUAGUACUGCCCGUACCGCAAACCGACACAGGUAGAUGAGGAGAGAAUCCUAAGGUGAGCGAGAGAACUCUCGUUAAGGAACUCGGCAAAAUGACCCCGUAACUUCGGGAGAAGGGGUGCUCUAUUAGGGUGCAAGCCCGAGAGAGCCGCAGUGAAUAGGCCCAGGCGACUGUUUAGCAAAAACACAGGUCUCUGCAAAACCGUAAGGUGACGUAUAGGGGCUGACGCCUGCCCGGUGCUGGAAGGUUAAGAGGAGUGCUUAGCUUCGGCGAAGGU
rnacentral:rRNA from 1 species